GCAGUCGUGGCCGAGUGGUUAAGGCGAUGGACUCGAAAUCCAUUGGGGUGUCCCCGCACAGGUUCGAAUCCUGGCGGCUGCG
rnacentral:tRNA from 1 species